rnacentral:rRNA from 1 species
ACAGGUGCUGCAUGGCUGUCGUCAGCUCGUGUCGUGAGAGUGUUGGGUUAAGUCCCGUAACGAGCGCAACCCUUGUCCUUAGUUACCAGCACGUUAUGGUGGGCACUCUAAGGAGACUGCCGGUGACAAACCGGAGGAAGGUGGGGAUGACGUCAAGUCAUCAUGGCCCUUACGGCCUGGGCUACACACGUGCUACAAUGGUCGGUACAAAGGGUUGCCAAGCCGCGAGGUGGAGCUAAUCCCAUAAAACCGAUCGUAGUCCGGAUCGCAGUCUGCAACUCGACUGCGUGAAGUCGGAAUCGCUAGUAAUCGUGAAUCAGAAUGUCACGGUGAAUACGUUCCCGGGCCUU